GACGAACGCUGGCGGCAUGCUUAACACAUGCAAGUCGAACGAAGUGGCGAACGGGUGAGUAAUACGUAGGUAACCUGCCCUCCUUUUUUGGAUAAGCUAUGGAAACGGUGACUAAUACCGAAAAAAGGGGGAUGGGCUCGCGGCCUAUCAGCUUGUUGGCGGGGUGAUGGCCAACCAAGGGGGUGACGGGUAGCCGGCCUGAGAGGCUGACCGGCCAAAUUGGGACGGAGGUGCGGCCCAGGCUCCGAAGGGAGGCGGCAGUGGGGGAUAUUGCACAAUGGGCGAAAGCCUGAUGCAGCGACUCCGCGUGGGGGCUGAAGGCUUUCGGGUUGUAAACCUCUAUCGCUAUCGAAGGGGUAGGUGGAGAAGAGGCGCCAGCUGAAAACGUGCCAGCAGCCGCGGUAAUAC
rnacentral:rRNA from 1 species